CGAAUAUAUAAUAUAUAAUUGUAUAAUAGAAACGACAAACGAGUCGAUCUCGGAAAGACUAAGGAAUGUUCAAGUUAUAAUAAUAAUAAUAAUAAUAAUAAUAAUAAUAAUUUACAUUCAAGUACUCGCGCAGAGAGAUCGGCCCUUUUGCUUGAGCAAAGACUUAUACGAUCCUUCCUCUAUUAGAUUAAGACGUAGGAGAGCAAAAAUGUUUCUUCGCCAUUGGUAAAUUCGUCUAUAUAUAUAUAUAUAAAAAAAAAAAAGA